UCCCCCGUGAGGGGGCAGUCUCGCCUGACAAAUAUAACAGGCAACGAGGGUUGCGUUCGUUACCCCACUGAAGGGAACGAUUCAAACCACGAACUGACGACAGCCAUGCAUCACCUGUCCUACACCCUCGAAGGCUUUCUUCCUUUCGGAAGACGUGCAGUAGGAUUUCUAACCUUGGUAAGGUUCUUCGCUUAGCGACGAAUUAAGCCACACGCUCCACCACUUGUGCAAGCCCCCGUCUAUUCCUUUGAGUUUUAGUCUUGCGACCGUACUACCCAGGCGGAUAACUUAACGCGUUAGCUUCGACUCGGAGAGGGUCGAUACUCCCCAAAUCCAGUUAUCAUCGUUUAGGGCGUGGACUAC
rnacentral:misc_RNA from 1 species